UGAGUGAGUCAGCCAAUAAUUUGUCUUUGAGACUUUCUUGAGUAACCUGGUGAUUUUUGUGUUUUUCUAAGAACACUUAUUGGAGUGUGGAACUCGCCUUUUGCUGGAGCUUAAGGACUCGUGUAUUUGGAUUCCUCUCCUGGAAACUCUCACCUGGAAACCAACCAUCCUCCGUCCUGUCUCUCUCUCUCUCUCUCUCUGUCUCUCUGUCUCUCUCUCUCUCGGACCUGGAACACCAACGGACACCGAAACCUGGAACACUUACCUCCUGGAUUUCCCUUGCCUCCUCCUCCGAGCUGACCUCCCUCCCAGGAGCCUGACGAACCCACUGUUUUGCAUUCACUGUAAAUAAACAUCAUUUAACUUUU